rnacentral:rRNA from 1 species
AGCCAUGCGAGUCAUUGUAGUAAUACAAGGCAGACGGCUCAGUAACGCGUAGUCAACCUAACCUAUGGACGGGAAUAACCUCGGGAAACUGAGUAUAAUGCCCGAUAGAACAUUAUGCCUGGAAUGGUUUAUGUUCCAAAUGAUUUAUCGCCGUAGGAUGGGACUGCGGCCUAUCAGUUUGUUGGUGAGGUAAUGGCCCACCAAGACUAUUACAGGUACGGGCUCUGAGAGGAGUGGCCCGGAGAUGGGUACUGAGACACGGACCCAGGCCCUAUGGGGCGCAGCAGGCGAGAAAACUUUGCAAUGUGCGAAAGCACGACAAGGUUAAUCCGAGUGGUUUCUGCUAAAGGAACCUUUUGUCGGUCCUAGAAACACCGAUGAAUAAGGGGUGGGCAAGUUCUGGUGUCAGCCGCCGCGGUAAAACCAGCACCUCAAGUGGUCAGGAUGAUUAUUGGGCCUAAAGCAUCCGUAGCCGGCUUUGUUUGUUUUCGGUUAAAUCUGUACGCUUAACGUACAGGCUGCCGGGAAUACUGCAGAGCUAGGGAGUGGGAGAGGUAGACGGUACUCGGUAGGAAGGGGUAAAAUCCUUUGAUCUAUUGAUGACCACCUGUGGCGAAGGCGGUCUACCAGAACACGUCCGACGGUGAGGGAUGAAAGCUGGGGGAGCAAACCGGAUUAGAUACCCGGGUAGUCCCAGCUGUAAACUAUG